rnacentral:lncRNA from 1 species
GACAUUUUAAUACAGCAUACAAUUAUGCUCUCCAUAUUCUUAUGUGUCAGGUAGCGUAUUUCAUCUGUAAACCAACUGCCUCUAUCAAACGAUGCUCCCACUACAGAAUCACGUUAUUGUACACCACUAACCCCAUGUACACUGUAAGAAUAUGGGGAUGAUAAUUUGAUACUGUAUUAUUAUAACGUCUUUAUUGGAGAUUUCAGGGGUACUGUAUGUGUAUUUUACACCAAUACCACAACGCGGAAUCAUGCGCAUGCGCAGAACAGACCAGGAAGCACAAUAUGAUUGAAGAAAUUGGCAGAACACCCUGCUUGACGGAGUAAAAGAAGACAUGGCGAGGAACGGAAAGCUACGGGACCGAACUGAAGACGCUGGGAUCCACCAUUUAAGAGACAUCCGGAAUCAACAGGACAUCUUCACAACCCUGACUCGGCAGCGACAGUUGAGCCAGCCUCUCUGCAGCUUAAGGACAACUUCAGCUUGAUCGAAAACUGGGGGGCAAUUCGUAUAAUAAUAGGAUAAAAACACCAGAUUUGGUGUUUUAAGGUUUAUUAGUCUGAGGUUUAAUUAAUGUAUCAAAGCAACACAGCACUCGUGAUCGUGGGGUGGCUAUCUGGGCCACUCGACAUCAGAACCUCGAGUUUGCAGCCUCAACAAAACACCCGUGAUUAUAUCAUUGCCCAACCCCACUCUCACUCACACAAUUUCAAAUUGCAUUGAUGACCUUAUUUCAGCCUUGGUUACCGAAUACCAAGAUUAAACUCAGGUUGAUUGUCAGUUCAGUCUUAUCCUGUGGGUCAGGCACUGCUGUUAUUUUCUUGUAACUUAAAAUUGCUCUAGACAGCAUUAAUAUUAGUUUGGAUUGGAUUCUGAUUAGCAGUCACUGCUUUAGCUAUACUCUCCACCUCAGCCUCUCCACGGCCUUUAUGCCCCGUCCUGGUUGACCAAUGUAAACCUUCAAUGUGGUUUGUUCACUUGAAUCCGUGAAACGCAUGAAUUUUACUUCAAAUGUUUUGUUAAUAGAAAGAAUUGUCGUGAUUUGGUCCCUGUAUAUGAAUUUGAAAUAAAUGAUUCAUCAAUUCAGUAUCUGAAUAUAUUUCAUUUCUAUUUUUCAACAGGGUCAGAGUUUGUGGAAAUGAGAAUUGUUAUGUAGUUCUGGAUGGUCAACAUAGUUGAGCACAAAUAUUUG